rnacentral:rRNA from 1 species
GCGGNCUAAGUUCCUUGNNACAGGACAUCACAGAGGGUGAGAAUCCCGUACGUGGUCGCCUGCCUNNNNCGUGUAAAGCCCCUUCGACGAGUCGAGUUGUUUGGGAAUGCAGCUCUAAAUGGGAGGUAAAUUUCUUCUAAAGCUAAAUACCGGCCAGAGACCGAUAGCGCACAAGUAGAGUGAUCGAAAGAUGAAAAGUACUUUGGAAAGAGAGUCAAAUAGCACGUGAAAUUGUUGAAAGGGAAGCGCUUGCAGCCAGACUUGCCCGCAGUUGCUCACCCAGGCUCCGGCCUGGGGCACUCUUCUGCGGGCAGGCCAGCAUCAGUUUGGGCGCUUGGAUAAAGGCCUCUGUCACGUAUCUCUCUUCGGGGAGACCUUAUAGGGGAGGCGUAAUGCAACCAGCCCGGACUGAGGUCCGCGCAUCUNCUAGGAUGCUGAC